AUGUCAUGGUCGGACGGUCCUUCCCGGGGCGACCUGCCUGUGUCUCUCUCUCUCUCUCCUCCUCCCCUACCCAGUGGCUGACACACCUGCACCUAAUUUGCCACCCAGCUGUCACUGAUCAUCCUUCGUUGUGGGCUGAGGCAUUUAACUGUGUGUCCAGAUGGCAGUCGACGCUGGAUUGUACUGGAAGCUCGGAGGAAAAGAUACAGAGCUGGAGGUUGAAGAGAAGGAGCCCGCGGGGUUAAGCUAUUGGAGGAGAACACACACUUGGAUGUCACUUUGGGAACUCACCUGCGCACCACUGGGAGUUUGGAGAAGAUCACCGUUGGACUUUGCACUUCACUUUGUGUUUUGAAACUGUUUUUGGGCACUGUAAAUAAACGCACUGUGUACUUUGCACCCAGA